rnacentral:tRNA from 1 species
UGGCUCAGAGGAUAAAGCAUCUGCUUGCAAUGCAGGAGACCCGGGUUCGAUCCCUGG